rnacentral:rRNA from 1 species
ACUGCGAAUGGCUCAUUAUAUAAGUUAUCGUUUAUUUGAUAGUACUUUACUACUUGGAUAACCGUGGUAAUUCUAGAGCUAAUACAUGCUAAAAAUCCCGACUUCGGAAGGGAUGUAUUUAUUAGAUUAAAAACCAAUGCCCUUUGGGCUCCUUGGUGAAUCAUGAUAACUUCUCGAAUCGCAUGGCCUUGCGCCGGCGAUGGUUCAUUCAAAUUUCUUCCCUAUCAACUUUCGAUGUUUGGGUAUUGGCCAAACAUGGUCGCAACGGGUAACGGAGGGUUAGGGCUCGACCCCGGAGAAGGAGCCUGAGAAACGGCUACUACAUCCAAGGAAGGCAGCAGGCGC